GGGUUGUGAGGUUAAGCGACCAAGCGUACACGGUGGAUGCCCUGGCAGUCAGAGGCGAUGAAGGACGUGCUAAUCUGCGAAAAGCGCCGGUAAGGUGAUAUGAACCGUUAUAACCGGCGAUGUCCGAAUGGGGAAACCCAGUGUGACUCGUCACACUAUCAUUAACUGAAUCCAUAGGUUAAUGAGGCGAACCGGGGGAACUGAAACAUCUAAGUACCCCGAGGAAAAGAAAUCAACCGAGAUUCCCCCAGUAGCGGCGAGCGAACGGGGAGGAGCCCAGAGCCUGAAUCAGCAUGUGUGUUAGUGGAAGCGUCUGGAAAGGCGCGCGAUACAGGGUGAGAGCCCCGUACACAAAAGCGCACGUGCUGUGAGCUCGAUGAGUAGGGCGGGACACGUGGUAUCCUGUCUGAAUAUGGGGGGACCAUCCUCCAAGGCUAAAUACUCCUGACUGACCGAUAGUGAACCAGUACCGUGAGGGAAAGGCGAAAAGAACCCCGGCGAGGGGAGUGAAACAGAACCUGAAACCGUGUACGUACAAGCAGUGGGAGCCCCACCACUAAGCCAGUGGUGAACUCCACAUACGCAUCCUUUGCUGAGGAUACGGU
rnacentral:rRNA from 3 species